rnacentral:rRNA from 1 species
GAUGAACGCUAGCUACAGGCUUAACACAUGCAAGUCGAGGGGUAACGAGAGGAAAGCUUGCUUUCCUUGUCGACGACCGGCGCACGGGUGAGUAACGCGUAUCCAACCUGCCCCCAACUAGGGAAUAACCUUGCGAAAGUAAGACUAAUACCCUAUAAUUUCCUCAGAUGUCAUCUGACGAGGAAUAAAGAUUUAUCGGUUGUGGAUGGGGAUGCGUCUGAUUAGCUUGUUGGCGGGGUAACGGCCCACCAAGGCAACGAUCAGUAGGGGUUCUGAGAGGAAGGUCCCCCACAUUGGAACGAAGAAACGGUCCAAACUCCUACGGGAGGCAGCAGUGAGGAAUAUUGGUCAAUGGGCGGAAGCCUGAACCAGCCAAGUAGCGUGCAGGAUGACGGCCCUAUGGGUUGUAAACUGCUUUUAUACAGGAAUAAAGUUAGCCACGUGUGGUUAUUUGUAGGUACUGUAUGAAUAAGGACCGGCUAAUUCCGUGCCAGCCGCCGCGGUAA